rnacentral:rRNA from 1 species
UAGGGAAUCUUCCGCAAUGGACGAAAGUCUGACGGAACAACGCCGCGUGAGUGAAGAAGGAUUUCGGUUCGUAAAACUCUGUUGUUAGGGAAGAAAAAAUGUAUAGUAACUAUAUACAAAAGAGACGGUACCUAACCAGAAAGCCACGGCUAACUACGUGCCAGCAGCCGCGGUAAUACGUAGGUGGCAAGCGUUCUCCGGAAUUAUUGGGCGUAAAGCGCGCGCAGGUGGUUUAGAAAGUCUGAUGUGAAAGCCCACGGCUCAACCGUGGGGGGUCGUUGGAAACUAAUAAACUUGAGUGCAGGAGAGAAAAGUGGAAUUCCUAGGGUAGCGGUGAAAUGCGUAGAGAUUAGGAGGAACACCGGUGGCGAAAGCGGCUUUUUGGCCUGCAACUGACACUGAGGCGCGAAAGCGUGGGGAGCAAACAGG